UUUUAGGGUGUAAAGCCGAAACUUAGGGACAAAAGCAAAGAAAGUCUUAAGUCAUGAGUGUAUUUUCCCUGAUUUAGGGAGUGAUGCAGGGAGAGCAGAGAGAUUGCUUCCUCAAGCAUAAUUGGUCCAUGAUUUAAGCAGUUCAAAACAGGUCGCCCAUUGCAGGUUGCCCAUUUUGCUACUCCCGGCUAACCCAUCAAUCAUCAUCCACCAUCUCCUAACUGUGCGGACAACUUUCAUCCACAGCCAAGUUACCUAAAUUUUUGCGAUACAGCCAAGGCAAAGCACGAGCCAGCCGCUUCUCAGGAUCUAUAACUAUUGGGUUUUCAGUUUGCAAUUGUAUUUUCAGGAUUUGUUUGAUCGGCUGGAGAAGGAGAUGAAAACCUAUAGUCAUAGUUCGUGUAAUUGCUUGAGGCGUGCAUGUAGCUGAGAAGCUGGAACUGGAAAGGAAAUAUAUAGCAGUCUUGCUGAGUCACAUGAAACUUGUAAUAAGAGUGGUACAAAUGAAUAUGGUUUCGAGAAAUGGUCAAGAAAGGAAAAAGGAAAACCAUUUGGAAAUGCAAGGAUGGAUUCUAUGAUACUUAAAUAUUGUUGGAAGUUCUAUGGUUGAAUCUUCGUUCAAUAUGGAUUUGUAUUUUGUUUUUUUAUUACUACAUUACCAUUAAUGUAUGAAAAUAACCAUUCCUA